ACAUUUCACGCUUACGGAACCCUAAUCCCUUACGCUUUUCCUUGACGCUUCCUGAUUUCCCUUUCUUCUUCACCUUCAAUGCUAUGAAGUUCAAUCGAUUCAAUGUGUUAUCAACCCGUUUUGUUAUAUUUGAUUGUUAGCGGAAGACGGUUGAGGUUCUCGGAAGUCACAGCUGCCCAUCCGGUGGUGGUGCUUCGAUGGAGGAAGAUGGUGACGGUGGUGGUGGCCUGAAGAGGAACUAUCACAGCGACAUGGGUUCAUUUAGGGUUUUGUCCAACGAUGGUCUUGUGAUGGUUGUGGUUCAAGGCACAGGGCGGCGGCUAGGGUUCCACCACCACAAAACCAUAGGAAAGUCUUCGGAUCUUGAAUCCCAAAAAUCAUCUCAUCCAGCAUUACAAAGCUCAAGGCAUCUGUUGGAACAGAACAACCGAGUUCUUGGUCAAAUCUCAACUAAUAUACACACACUAAAGCUGCAGGACAAUUACGAUCUUUUUUGGCAGAUCAAGAACAGUAUUACUGUCAUCUUAAACGAUUUGGCCAGUUUUGCGACUUUUGUCCCUGCGUUUUAAUUUAUAUUAUGUGCUAGAAACCGGAGUAAACCCAUAACUGUUUCUAUUCGGUGGAUGAGUCAGCAGUAGUGGCGUGUUUUCUUCACAUCUGCAGUAGUGGCGGUAGUAGUCCGUACUGCUAUGGGGUGGUGUAAGAGUGGCAAGUGAUGGCAUUUCGGUUUUGGAGGUUUCAUUAUAUGGGACGUUUCAGAUGGUCAACAGGACUACUCAUUUGCAGAACUGUUACCAAUGGGCACUAUAGGUGUUAUAGGCGGUCUUCUUGGACCAUUAUUUAACCAGCUGACACUAUAUAUAACACGUUGGCGUCGAAAUUAUCUACACAAGAAAGGAAACUGGGUCAAACCAGUUAGAGAAGUUGAUGACACAAAGUCGAUGUACAAGGAUGUCGUGCUAGGGGGAGAUGUGUGGGAUCUUUUGGAUGAAUUAAUGUUUACAUGCGGAAUCCUAUGCAAUAUUAUGAAAAAGAAGUGAAGUUUGUUCGGGCUCCUGCUUUUAUAUUUGUAGACGAGAUUGAUGCUAUUUCCGGAAGACAUGCAAGAAAAGAUCCAAGAAGGCGAUCAACAUUUGACGCAUUGAUAACGCAGCUUGAUAGAGAGAAAACUCAAGCAUCAACUGAAAUACAAAACUUGGCUGUUUAUGGUCAAGGACUUCUGAGAUUGAGCGGUCGGGGUGAUGCAAUCAAAGAGCAAAUACUUUCACAGGUUGGACCGGGUUCUAAACCUUGAAGCCCCAUUAAAUGAUGAACAGAGUAAAAGCAUGAUAACAAAAUCCCAUUGCGAGAAUCCAACAUGCCCAAGAGAUUUGAUUUACCCCCCUGACGAUUGUCAUGUUAACGACACACUUUCGUUUUCACUACAAAUUUGUCGUGUUGAAGACAUAGUUGUGGAUGGCACAUUUACAGGGAUUAUCAUUCAGAUAUACAGAGCAAUGAGUGUCAUCGUCAACACAGAAGGCAUGAUAACCGCUUCCGAGUUAGGUUGUCGAAAUGGUUUCGGUUUGGGAAACUGUUCAAAUGGUGCUGGCGGCGGUGGUGGUGGUGGUUGUGGGCAUGGGGGCAGAGGGGGUACUAGGUUGUACUAUGGAAGGUUGAGUGAAGGUGGUAGCGUUUAUGGUAAACAGGAUCUUCCUUGUGAGUUAGGAAGUGGAACUAUUGGCCCUAAUGAGUAUGUUUGUCGGGUUGCUGGUGGAGGAAUGAUCGGUAUUCUUUCCUUUCUAAAAUAAAACUAUGACAUCAUUUUUCAAAUUUAAAUCUAGCUAUGUGGUUAUAAUAGUAGUAAUGAUAGUGAUAAUAAUAACAAGACAAAAUUACACAAAUUGUCCUUUAUUUAUACGUAAAAUUGCACCCUAUGUUCUUUGUCUUUAAUAAGUACACUUCGUGUCCUUUAUGACUAAAUUUUGCACACUCUAAGUCCUUUACACUAACCACCAUCCAUUUCAUACGUUAAGUAGGUGCAUGUGCCCCUCAUGUGAAGGGCAAAACAAUCAUUUUACACAUAAUUUUCUCUUCCCACACUUUUAUUAAACCCAUCGAUCAAACACUGCAUAUCAAAACAAUUUUAGUGCUUUUUUUGUAAUUUUAGGGUUUCAAAUGUAAUGCUACUAUUAUGUGUAAUGCAAUUGCUUUUGUGUCUAUUUUAAUUUGUCAAAAUUAACAUUAAAGUGGGUAAAUGUGGUUUGACUUGAACCAACUAUAGCCGCAAAUGUCCAUACAUUAGACUUGAACCAACUUUGCAUACAGUAAAUGUGGUUAUAACCAUAACAACCAUAAGUAACCAAAUGUGCAUACAUUAGACUUCAAGUGAACUAACUAUAAAUUUGGCAGCUGAUAUGUGCAUGUUGAUCAAGGUAUGGAUGGGUUAGACUGCAAAUUUGGCACUUUGAUUCAAGAAUUACAACAUUUAGAUACCCAAUUACAAAAAAAAAAACACUAUUAGAUGCAUAUAGCACUUUGAAAAACACACACAAGGGACUCGAAUUAAAACAUCAGAUGCACAUAUAUGAUGUUUUGUCCCUCACAUAAGGGGCACAUGCACCUACUUAACGGAUGAAAGGGAUGAUGGUUAGUGCAAAGGACUUGGAGUGUGCAAAAUUUAGUUGUAAAGGACAUGAAGUGCACUUAUUGAAGACAAAGGAUACAGAGUGCAAUUUCACGUAUAAAUAAAGGACAAUAUAUGUAAUUUAGUCUAAUAACAAUAGUAGUACUAAUAAUAAUAAUAUUAAUAAUAAAUCAUUAUAUUAAUAUAACAUUUAAUAUAUAAUAAUGUUAUUUUCUAUGUACAUGAUGUAUAAUUGUACCACAACCCAACCGGUCAAUUGGAUGUCAUUAACCAUAUAAUGAAAAUGGAAUAUAACCGAAUGGGUCAGUUAUAUUAUAUUAUCAUGCCGACAUACUUGGUUAUGGGUCAGUCAUAAAGCAAAGACUUUUUGAAUGAAUGUUUAUCCUCGGAGGAUCAUUUGAUUAAUGAAGUUGUUGAGUGGGCCAAACCGUUUGGCCAUAAGUCGCGCUAUUUCUAUUUGAGCGUUCUGCUAUUUGGUACAUACUUUUCCCUCUUUUUGAAUGAAAUAUUGCUGGAUUGGAAUGAAAUUGCACAAGAACAUGCUAAGGAGAAUUUUGGGACUAUUUGUAAAUUCCUUACUUGCAAGGUAAGUUCACGUGGGCUUUUCAUACUCGAGACACAAGAUUAUAUAAACAAAUAUGGUUUGGGAUACUUGUCCUCUUCUGGUGCAACCAUUUUAGUUUUUUUGCGGUAAAAUGAAUGGGUAAGUGUUCUUUGUUAAUGGGUUGGGUAUUUUAUCUCAAACGGGUUAAUUUGGGUUGUGUUCAACUUAUAACGGCCAAAUUUAGGUUGGGUAUUUUAUUUCAAACGGGUCAAUGUGGGUUGUUUUCAAUUUGAAACAUGUGGCAUUUGGGUUCUGUAUUAUUUCAAACGGGUCAAUUUCGGUUAUGUUCUAUAUAAAACAUGUAGACUUGGGUUGGGUAUGCAUAUUUGAAAGGGCAUUUUUGUCAUUAUUGUAUCGAUCUCUUGUAUACAACCAAGCAACCUGAAACAAAAGAUUAAGCAAAUUUGCAUGGAAUGAGUUGUCCAGUUUACAAAAGGUAUGCUCAACAUAUUCUUCGUCUCUUUAACGCAAAGUCAACCCAUUAUUUUUGUAUAUAUGUCCAUAAAUCAGUGGCUCCUUUUUUAGUUAUUUUGACUUUCCGGGUCAAAUUUUAAUCCUGGCAGCAGAGACUACACUCAUGUUGUAGUGAUACGGUUUCUCAUGCUUUAGUGAAUAUGGUUUCGAUCAUGUGACUUUAUUCCAAGCUUUUUGACAUGCUCACUUAUUGCUUUUGUGUUUUUUUUUUGUAGGUGACUACAGCGACUGCCUCAAUUAUAUUUUUGGUAUUAGUUUUGUCAUAGGUGAUCACCACAAAAACUUGAAAGCUAGAUCCGAGAACACGUGUUCAAGCCGUUAUCUCACACAAUUUGUUGUAUUAAUGUAUUUAACUGUUAUUACUCACUAUGAGGUCGUGCUAAUGUGAGGUUCACAUGAGAACCAGAAGUUAGAAUCAUCACAUGUAUACAAGUAUUUUGUCAUAAAAAGGUUGCGUGUUUGAUGUAUAUAUUAAGCGAGAUGUGUUCAGUGAA